AAAAGAGCCAGUCCACUUCCAGUCUACACCGUGAAGCCAGAAAACAAGGACCGUCCUGUACGUACACUCCAUCGAGACCUGCUAUUACCCUGUGGUUUCCUCUCAGCCCCUGCCAAACAAAUCAAACAGAAAGUGACACAUUCCCUACCGUCAGAAAGCACACCUCUCAAUCCUCCUGAUGAUGGUGGUGAAGAUAUCCUGUCGGAAGAAGAACUGAUUCCUGUUAAACCUCUCUCCAUCUCAGAACCAGUCAGAUUCACAUCCAUAAUCGAAUUGCCCACUUCUGCUCAUCCGGCUGAGUCAGCUGUGGUCCCGCCUGGCCAGCAACCACAGUCUGCCCGGACUGAAGAACCUCUGAUGGAAGUGGGGCCUCGUGUGAUUGAGAGUGAACCGGAAUCUGAAUCGUCACAAGAAACCAUUGACCACUUAGCUGAAGCUGUAAAUACUCACUUAGACUUAAGACCUGCUGCUAACCUGGAGCCUGAAGAAAGCGCUUCCUCUGAUCCGGAAACUCCAGACCCCGUCAGCAUUGUCUCUGAAUCUGACUCACCCUCUGAGCUUGAAUUGUCCAGUCCCGGGUCCGAACCACCAGGCCAUCGACCUAUCCGAACACGUCGUCCUCCUGAGCGGUUCCAAUACUCCAGGCUGGGCCAUCCACUGCUCCAAAGUAUCCAAUCUUUGUUCCAUGGACUAAGCACCGCCUUUAAUUAUGUUGUUGAAAUUGAUGAGGUCCAACCUUCCCUUACCAGUAAACAAGCCGUCUGCCGUCAGCCCGCUGCAUGUACAGGGCCGUACAUGAGUUCAGGGGGGGAACGUGUAGCCCUCAGCUCCUAAGUCCUUUUAAUUUGACGGGCCACGCCCUGUGCGACAUCACCCCAACUCUAUUUACCUGCGGAGUCAGAGUGCCACUCCCUCCUCCAUUCCCCACCUGUGGCUGUUGCAUGCUCUGUUGGCGUCUCGUUUAAAAAAAAAGCUACUGGAUCUUCCUAAAGAUCUAAUAUUAUAAGCUGUCUUUUGGACUCGCUUCUCUCUCACAACUUGGGCCAAACCGCUCAUGUUGUCUUUCAUUAAUACCACUACACAGACGGAGAUCAACUUGUCAUCCCUUCAACGGUCAGGUUUUUUUUUUAUGCCAGAAAAAGGACAUCACCCUCACUACAAUCUGGUUCACAACAACUUUUUUUUCUUCUAAUUCAACUGAAGAUGGCGAGCUAAGACCUCUACCUGUGCGGUAGGAUACAGACUCUUCUUUCCUAUAAGGAUAAAAACUAUUCUCUUCCCAACCCUGGAUUACCAUAGCGUAUGGACUAACAAUCUAACCUAACUGAACCUUGGGGACAAUUAAUCAAAAACUGUUUUGUUAUUAAUGUUUGUGUGUUUGUUGUUUUUUUUUUUGUGUGUGUCUUGGCCACUUUAAUACAAAACUAGUUAAACCUUAUUUUUGUCUCUGUGAUUAUUCACACCUCGGGCUCCUCAACGAACCCUCUUCUGGUAACAUCUUUCUACAUCUAUAUAGUCAGUUCCUUGUCAUUAGCCUUUAAC